CUCCUUGGGUGACGAGCGGCGGACGGGUGAGUAAUGUCUGGGAAACUGCCUGAUGGAGGGGGAUAACUACUGGAAACGGUAGCUAAUACCGCAUAACGUCGCAAGACCAAAGAGGGGGACCUUCGGGCCUCUUGCCAUCAGAUGUGCCCAGAUGGGAUUAGCUAGUAGGUGGGGUAAUGGCUCACCUAGGCGACGAUCCCUAGCUGGUCUGAGAGGAUGACCAGCCACACUGGAACUGAGACACGGUCCAGACUCCUACGGGAGGCAGCAGUGGGGAAUAUUGCACAAUGGGCGCAAGCCUGAUGCAGCCAUGCCGCGUGUGUGAAGAAGGCCUUCGGGUUGUAAAGCACUUUCAGCGAGGAGGAAGGUGGUGAGCUUAAUACGUUCAUCAAUUGACGUUACUCGCAGAAGAAGCACCGGCUAACUCCGUGCCAGCAGCCGCGGUAAUACGGAGGGUGCAAGCGUUAAUCGGAAUUACUGGGCGUAAAGCGCACGCAGGCGGUUUGUUAAGUCAGAUGUGAAAUCCCCGGGCUCAACCUGGGAACUGCAUUUGAAACUGGCAAGCUAGAGUCUCGUAGAGGGGGGUAGAAUUCCAGGUGUAGCGGUGAAAUGCGUAGAGA
rnacentral:rRNA from 2 species